GCCACGGUGGUCUAGCGGUUAGAACGCUGGCCUUGUAAUCCUGGGGUCCCGGGUUCGAUUCCCAGCGGUGCCU
rfam:Zootermopsis nevadensis contig2901, whole genome shotgun sequence.